rnacentral:rRNA from 1 species
AACGAACGCUGGCGGCAUGCCUAACACAUGCAAGUCGAACGAGACGUUCGGGUCUAGUGGCGCACGGGUGCGUAACGCGUGGGAACCUGCCCGUAGGUUCGGAAUAACUCACCGAAAGGGGUGCUAAUAACGGAGAGUGUCAUCGGACCAAAGAUUUAUCGCCUUUGGAUGGACCCGGGUUGGAUUAGGUGGUUGGGAGGGUAAAAGCCUACCAAGGCCACGAUGCAGAGCUGGUCGGGGAGGAUGCCCCGGCACACUGGGACUGAGACCCGGCCCAGACGCCUACGCGACGCAGCAGUGGGGUAUAUUGUACACGGGACGCUAGCCUAAUCCAGCCACGCCGCGUGAGUGAUCCAGCCCUUAGUGUUGUAAAGCUCUCUUACCCGGGAUGUUAGUGACGGUACCGGGUGAAUAAGCUCCGGCUAACUCCGUG